rnacentral:rRNA from 1 species
GUGCCAGCAGCCGCGGUAAUACGGAGGUGGCAAGCGUUAUCCGGAAUUAUUGGGCGUAAAGCGCGCGCAGGUGGUUUCUUAAGUCUGAUGUGAAAGCCCACGGCUCAACCGUGGAGGGUCAUUGGAAACUGGGAGACUUGAGUGCAGGAGAGGAAAGUGGAAUUCCAUGUGUAGCGGUGAAAUGCGUAGAGAUAUGGAGGAACACCAGUGGCGAAGGCGACUUUCUGGUCUGUAACUGACACUGAGGAGCGAAAGCGUGGGUAGCGAACACGAUUAGGAUCCCCCGUAGUCC